rnacentral:tRNA from 1 species
GGGGAUUUGGCUCAGUGGUAGAGCGCUUGCCUAGCAAGCGAAAGGCCCUGGGUUCGAUCCCCAGCUCCG